GUGAUUUUUUAGACUAAUUUCUCUCAUUUUUUCUGGGUAGGAUAGAAGUAUUUCAGAAGAAAAUUAAAGAACAUAGCAUAGAGUCCAAGGAAUUGAACUCAGGUCCUAGCAUUUGGUUUGAGGGACUGAACUGGGUUCAUCAGCCCUAUUGAAAUGCUAGGUUUAGCUACACAGUCGUUCUCCACCCGUGAGACUCAGAAGAGCAGAAGCAGCAAGGGCUGGGCGCCUGGUGGGCAAGCACCUGAUGUCUCCUGAGAACUCUGAGUCCGAAUUACAGACUGUGGCUCAUGACACCAAGUGGUACUUAUCCAAGAUAUAACUGGAGGCAAAUGAUCAGAAGAGCAGCUUUGUGCAGUGAAGACUCACACAAGUUCCAAACAGUUGAUGAUACUGCGGACAAACAAAUGAGAAGCAUCGCGUGAGAGUCACAGCCAAGUUGUUCUCAGCUACCACAUUUUUCUCUUGAUUUCCAGCACAGGUACAUUUCAUAUAACUAUUUGGAAGAUAAUUGUCAAGACAUUUUCUGUCCUGCAAUUUCAUAAUAAAAUUUGCUGUGAAGGAAUCAGCAGCAUCUAG